UAAUGAGCGAGGGGUAUAUACGUCAUUUUGCAUAUGGCAGAAAAUGUAACAGGCACAUCACAUCUCCCACAUUAAUAAGCACUCUCUCUCUCUCUCUUCCUUUUUAACAUAAAAUGACGUACAUCUCUCUUCAAUUGAAAGAUCUCAAAUUCUCAUUCAUCUCUCUUCUCUUACACACUUUUCCCUCUCUCUCUUUAUAUCUUUAUCAUCUAAUUCAUUUUCAGAUCUUGAAGAACUUCAUCCAGAUCUAAAAGUGAUAUGAAUCCAAAAGAUGAUCCAGUUCAAAAAAUCAUCAUCCAGAUGCUCCAGAUCUAGAAGAUCAUCAUCCAGAUGUUCGAUGUUUGAACAUGAUAUUCCAAAUCUAGAAGAUCCUACUCCAGAUCCGGUUGAAGAUGAUCGAUGUUGAAGAUGAUGUGAUGGCGGUUCGAUGUUGAAGAUGACCCCAAAGAUGUUCGAUGUAUAAACAUGAUGUUCCAGAUCUAGAAGAUCCUCCAGGUCCAUAACUUUGUUGCAAAUCUACACUUUGAAGAUGAUGUUUUAGAUGUUUGAAGAUGACGUUUCAGAUGUUGAAGAUGAUUCAAAAGAUGUUUGAUGUUGAACAUAGUUACGAAAUGUAACAAUCAAAGAAAAAUGCAUGUUACAUUUUUUCGUGUUACAUAAAUAAUGCACGUUACUGAAAAUAAAGUGGAUUGUUACACUUUUUUAGACUGUUGUAAAAAUAAAGUGUGUUGUUACAUUUUUCCCAGAUUAUUGUAAAAACAAAGCGACUGUUACAGAAAAAAAGUGUCUUGUUACAUUUUUUUGUGUUACAGAAAUAAUGUCCGUUACAGAAAAUAAAGUGCAUUUGAUCAUGUAAAAAUUAUAUGUUACGUUUCUGUGUAAUAUUUUAUGUUAUAGAAAUAAAGUGUGUUAUUACAAA